rnacentral:rRNA from 1 species
GGAUUCAAAGUAGCAAUAUUUUGAUGAGAGUGGCGCACGGGUGAGUAACACGUAUGCAAUUUACCUUUAACUGGGGGAUAGCCCUCCGAAAGGAGGAUUAAUACCGCAUAAUAUAUUGAAGUGGCAUCAUUUUAAUAUUAAACCUACGGGGGUUAAAGAUGAGCAUGCAUCCGAUUAGCUAGUUGGUGUGGUAACGGCUCACCAAGGCAACGAUCGGUAGGGGGUCUGAGAGGAUGAUCCCCCACACUGGUACUGAGACACGGACCAGACUCCUACGGGAGGCAGCAGUAAGGAAUAUUGGACAAUGGAGGCAACUCUGAUCCAGCCAUGCCGCGUGAAGGAUUAAGGCCCUAUGGGUUGUAAACUUCUUUUAGACGGGACAAAACCUCUUUACGUGUAAAGGGUUGAUGGUACUGUCAGAAUAAGCAUCGGCUAACUUCGUGCCAGCAGCCGCGGUAAUACGAAGGAUGCAAGCGUUAUCCGGAAUUAUUGGGUUUAAAGGGUGCGUAGGCGGACUAAUAAGUCAGUGGUGAAAGCCUGCAGCUUAACUGCAGAAUUGCCGCUGAUACUGUUAGUCUUGAGUACAGUUGAGGUAGGCGGAAUGUGUCAUGUAGCGGUGAAAUGCUUAGAUAUGACACAGAACACCGAUUGCGAAGGCAGCUUGCUAAGCUGUAACUGACGCUGAGGCACGAAAGCGUGGGGAGCAAACAGGAUUAGAUACCCUGGUAGUCCACGCCCUAAACGAUGAUAACUCGCUGUUGGCGAUAUACUGUCAGCAGCCAAGCGAAAGCAUUAAGUUAUCCACCUGGGGAGUACGACCGCAAGGUUGAAACUCAAAGGAAUUGACGGGGGCCCGCACAAGCGGAGGAGCAUGUGGUUUAAUUCGAUGAUACGCGAGGAACCUUACCUGGGCUUGAAAGUUAGCGACCGACUCCGAA